AGUGAACGCUGGCGGUAGGCCUAACACAUGCAAGUCGAACGGCAGCACAGUAAGAGCUUGCUCUUACGGGUGGCGAGUGGCGGACGGGUGAGGAAUACAUCGGAAUCUACUUUUUCGUGGGGGGUAACGUAGGGAAACUUACGCUAAUACCGCAUACGACCUACGGGUGAAAGCAGGGGAUCUUCGGGCCUUGCGCGAUUGAAUGAGCCGAUGUCGGAUUAGCUAGUUGGCAGGGUAAAGGCCCACCAAGGCGACGAUCCGUAGCUGGUCUGAGAGGAUGAUCAGCCACACUGGAACUGAGACACGGUCCAGACUCCUACGGGAGGCAGCAGUGGGGAAUAUUGGACAAUGGGCGCAAGCCUGAUCCAGCCAUACCGCGUGGGUGAAGAAGGCCUUCGGGUUGUAAAGCCCUUUUGUUGGGAAAGAAAAGCAGCAGGUUAAUACCCCGCUGUUCUGACGGUACCCAAAGAAUAAGCACCGGCUAACUUCGUG
rnacentral:rRNA from 1 species